rnacentral:rRNA from 1 species
GACGAACGCUGGCGGCGUGCCUAAUACAUGCAAGUCGAGCGCACGAGUCGGAUACUUGUUCUUACUUGAUGAGCGGCGGACGGGUGAGUAACGCGUGGGCAAUCUGCCUUUUAGCGGGGGAUAACAUCGAGAAACGGAUGCUAAUACCGCAUAACAACAUAUAUCACAUGAUUUAUGGUUGAAAGAUGCAAUUGCAUCACGCAACAAGGAGCGCGCGGUGGAUUAUAGAGAUGGGGAGGUAAAGGCCCACCCAGGCGAAGAUAAAUAUACGACCCGGGAGGGUGGUCGGGCCCAAUGGGAAUGGGACACGGCCCAAGCCCCUUAGGGAGGGAGCAAGAAGGGAUUCUCGGGAAUGGACGGAAGGCUGACCGAGCAACGGCGGGUGAGGGAAGAAGGGCUUCGGAUCGGUAAAGCCUGGUGGUAGGGGAGAAAGUUGGUGAGAGGGGAAUGCUGUUAAAGUGACGGUAACUAACGAGAAAGCGACGGCUAACUACGUG